rnacentral:tRNA from 2 species
GGGCGGAUAGCUCAGAGGUAGAGCACUUGCUUCACACGCAAGGGGUCGUAGGUUCGAUUCCUACUUCGCCCACCA